rnacentral:lncRNA from 1 species
ACCCAUGCAAAGUUUGCCAAAAAGUUGAAAUUUGACAUCUUGGUCCCCUGUGUACAAAAAAGUGGUCCCUUGUGAAGGACUUUCUGUACAAAUUCAACAAAACAUUCUCGUAAACGUUUACCACCUAUUGGUAAAUGAUUACACCACCCUUUUUCAAUGCUCUUGACUCAGGAUUUCAUCCAACUACUUUUAGUGAACACAAGACCUUUGAACAACACUAAAACAAUCUGUCAAGUUUAAUAUGUAACAACUAAAUGCUAACAUUAUUUCUCAAUUUCAAUAACAUUACUCAUUCAUUUAACUGUAAUACAAUGUGAAACAAGGAUAGUUCAAUGUAACAUCUGUCAACAAUAACAUUACAAUUGAAAUUACAAAACACAUAUGUCCAC